rnacentral:rRNA from 1 species
UGUGUAGGUGGCCUUGUUAAGUUCCGUGUGAAAUCUCCCGGCUCAACCGGGAGGGUGCGCGGAAAACUGGCGGGCUAGAGUGCGGGAUGGGAGAGUAGAAUUCCUGGUGUAGCGGUGAAAUGCGUAGAUAUCAGGAGGAAUACCGGUGGUGUAGACGGCUCUCUGGACCGUAACUGACACUGAAACACGAAAGCGUGGGUAGCAAACAGGAUUAGAUACCCUGGUAGUCCACGCCCUAAACGAUGCACAUUUGGUGUAGGUCAUUCAGUUGAUCUGUGCCGGAGCUAACGCGUUAAAUGUGCCGCCUGGGGAGUACAGUCGCAAGGCUGAA